rnacentral:rRNA from 1 species
GACGGAGGAUGCAAGUGUUAUCCGGAAUCACUGGGCGUAAAGCGUCUGUAGGUGGUUUGAUAAGUCAACUGUUAAAUCUUGAAGCUCAACUUCAAAAUCGCAGUCGAAACUAUUAGUCUAGAGUAUAGUAGGGGUAAAGGGAAUUUCCAGUGGAGCGGUGAAAUGCGUAGAUAUUGGAAAGAACACCGAUGGCGAAGGCACUUUACUGGGCUAUUACUGACACUCAGAGACGAAAGCUAGGGUAG